UACGUAGGGGGCGAGCGUUGUCCGGAUUUAUUGGGCGUAAAGAGCUCGUAGGCGGUUCGAUAAGUCGGACGUGAAAUCUCCACGCUCAACGUGGAGGGGCCGUUCGAUACUGUCGUGACUCGAGUCCGGUAGGGGAGUGUGGAAUUCCCGGUGCAGCGGUGAAAUGCGCAGAGAUCGGGAGGAACACCCGUAGCGAAGGCGGCACUCUGGGCCGGUACUGACGCUGAGGCACGAAGGUCAGGGGAGCAAACGGG
rnacentral:rRNA from 1 species